rnacentral:lncRNA from 1 species
ACGACUAGUAAUACAGGAUAAUUAUGUAUUUGAUAGCAAUGUAACACAUGUUUAAAACGAGAAUUGGUAAAUUUUGUAUGCUACUACAUUGAUGCAUAUACAGUUGAGUAAUUUUUAAGAAUUGAGCAGUUGGUUUUCGGUACCUCCUUUAAGUGGAUCAUUGGAUGGGUUCAUAUAAUAACAUACAUGUAUUAUGUAUGC